rnacentral:rRNA from 1 species
GAUGAACGCUGGCGGCGUGUCUAAUACAUGCAAGUCGAGCGAACGGACGAGAAGCUUGCUUCUCUGAUGUUAGCGGCGGACGGGUGAGUAACACGUGGAUAACCUACCUAUAAGACUGGGAUAACUUCGGGAAACCGUAGCUAAUACCGGAUAAUAUUUUGAACCGCAUGGUUCAAAAGUGAAAGACGGUCUUGCUGUCACUUAUAGAUGGAUCCGCGCCGCAUUAGCUAGUUGGUAAGGUAACGGCUUACCAAGGCAACGAUGCAUAGCCGACCUGAGAGGGUGAUCGGCCACACUGGAACUGAGACACGGUCCAGACUCCUACGGGAGGCAGCAGUAGGGAAUCUUCCGCAAUGGGCGAAAGCCUGACGGAGCAACGCCGCGUGAGUGAUGAAGGUCUUCGGAUCGUAAAACUCUGUUAUUAGGGAAGAACAUAUGUGUAAGUAACUGUGCACAUCUUGACGGUACCUAAUCAGAAAGCCACGGCUAACUACGUG